rnacentral:rRNA from 1 species
UACGGGGGGGGCAAGCGUUGUUCGGAAUUACUGGGCGUAAAGGGUGCGUAGGCGGCUUUCUAAGUUGGAUGUGAAGACUCUGGGCUCAACCCAGAGCCUGCAUCCAAAACUGGAGAGCUUGGGUUCUGGAGGGGAAAGCGGAAUUCCUGGUGUAGCGGUGAAAUGCGUAGAUAUCAGGAGGAACACCGGUGGCGAAGGCGGCUUUCUGGACAGAUACCGACGCUGAGGCACGAAAGCUAGGGGAGCAAACAGG